AGGGCCAUAUCACGUUGAAACACCGGUUCUCGUACGAUGACUGAAGUUAAGCAACAUCGAUCUUGGUCAGUACCUAGAUGUGUGACCACUUUGGGAAUACCAAAUGGUGUA